rnacentral:rRNA from 1 species
GACGAACGCUGGCGGCGUGCUUAACACAUGCAAGUCGAACGGAAAGGCCCUGCUUUUGUGGGGUGCUCGAGUGGCGAACAGGUGAGUAACACGUGAGUAACCUGCCCUUGACUUUGGGAUAACUUCAGGAAACUGGGGCUAAUACCGGAUAGGAGCUCCUGCUGCAUGGUGGGGGUUGGAAAGUUUCGGCGGUUGGGGAUGGACUCGCGGCUUAUCAGCUUGUUGGUGGGGUAGUGGCUUACCAAGGCUUUGACGGGUAGCCGGCCUGAGAGGGUGACCGGCCACAUUGGGACUGAGAUACGGCCCAGACUCCUACGGGAGGCAGCAGUGGGGAAGAUUGCACAAUGGGCGGAAGCCUGAUGCAGCAACGCCGCGUGCGGGAUGACGGCCUUCGGGUUGUAAACCGCUUUCGCCUGUGACGAAGCGUGAGUGACGGUAAUGGGUAAAGAAGCACCGGCUAACUACGUG